GCACUGGACAAGGUUUGGUUGACCAGCAUGCACGCGUUGGCCUUGGAUCAUGCAAGCGAGUCCACAGCAUGACUGACAGACCAGGACAAAGCACAGCGUCGUCGCUUAAGGGCUCCAAAGUAGAAACGACAACAAAUGCCAUCUAAUGAGCCCAUGCAAAGGCCAGCAGUCCACAGAUGCUCUCAAAAAAGAGGCAAAGCAAGGGGAGAUAAGGAGAGUGAAGAAGAGAGGAAGAAGACGGGGCAGCUGCAGUGUGGGCAG